UAUCUCCUGCAGCGUUCGAUUAGUGCUGGGUGUUUCCUGAACCUGUUUUUACCCCGGAAGUUGAUUCGAGUAAUGGUGUGCAUGCCUGUUUUGCGGGAAGCCUGAUUUACUGUUGAAGCCUCCACUUGAACCUCCGGUUCAAGGACGAAGGUACGAGACGGCGCAGGCGGGAGAUUC
rnacentral:other from 1 species